UUUUUUUUUUUUUUUUUUUUUUUAAAAAAGGAAAAAGAGUACCAAUUUUAUUGCACUACUUUCUAUUUCAACACGCAAGAAGUUGUCAAUA
rnacentral:ribozyme from 13 species